GGGGAAUAUUGGGCAAUGGGCGAAAGCCUGACCCAGCGACGCCGCGUGAAGGAUGAAGGUCUUCGGAUUGUAAACUUCUUUGAUCAGGGAAGAAAGAAAUGACGGUACCUGAAAAACAAGCCACGGCUAACUACGUGCCAGCAGCCGCGGUAAUACGUAGGUGGCAAGCGUUGUCCGGAUUUACUGGGUGUAAAGGGCGUGUAGGCGGGGAUGCAAGUCAGAUGUGAAAUCCCGCGGCUCAACCGCGGAACUGCAUCUGAAACUGCGUCUCUUGAGUGUCGGAAGGGAAAGUGGAAUUCCUAGUGUAGCGGUGAAAUGCGUAGAUAUUAGGAGGAACACCGGUGGCGAAGGCGACUUUCUGGACGAUAACUGACGCUGAGACGCGAAAGCGUGGGGAGCAAAC
rnacentral:rRNA from 1 species